GACGAACGCUGGCGGCGUGCUUAACACAUGCAAGUCGAGCGGUAAGGCCCUUUCGGGGGUACGACGAGCGGCGAACGGGUGAGUAACACGUGGGUGACCUGCCCUUAGCUCUGGGAUAAGCCUGGGAAACUGGGUCUAAUACCGGAUAUGACUCCAUGACGCAUGUUGUGGGGUGGAAAGCCUUGUGCGGCUAGGGAUGGGCCCGCGGCCUAUCAGCUUGUUGGUGGGGUGAUGGCCUACCAAGGCGACGACGGGUAGCCGGCCUGAGAGGGCGACCGGCCACACUGGGACUGAGACACGGCCCAGACUCCUACGGGAGGCAGCAGUGGGGAAUCUUGCGCAAUGGGCGAAAGCCUGACCCAGCAACGCCGCGUGAAGGAUGAAAUCCCUCGGGAUGUAAACUCGCAAGAACGGGAAGAAUAAGUAGGGGACAAUACCCCCUAUGAUGACGGUACCGUUUGUAAGCUCCGGCUAACUCCGUGCCAGCAGCCGCU
rnacentral:rRNA from 1 species